rnacentral:lncRNA from 1 species
AAGUGAAUAAUGGCAUCAUAAUGUACAAAGUUCAUAAUCAUGUUGAAAACUUUAAUUUUCGUGCAACUUCUAUAUCAUCAUAAAUUUAUGUACAUAGCAUGAUAAUCAUGAUGAAUGUCAUCUAUUUAAAAUCAUGCAACAUUUGCUAACACAUGCUUGAUCCUAAUUUGCAAAAACAUAAAUAAUCACAUACAAUUUCAUAAUCAAAUAGUCACAUGUAUUUGAUAAAAACAUAAGAUUAUAUCAGGGUCACUUACCUUA